UCUCCGUAGGUGAACCUGCGGAGGGAUCAUUACAGAGUUCAUGCCCUACCGGGUAGAUCUCCCACCCUAUGUUAUUAUUACUUUGUUGCUUUGGCGGGCCGUUAGGCUCCGGCCCGACUACCGGCCCCGGCUGGUAAGCGCUCGCCAGAGGACCCAAAACCCUGAAUAUUAGUGUCGUCUGAGUACUAUAUAAUAGUUAAAACUUUCAACAACGGAUCUCUUGGUUCUG
rnacentral:misc_RNA from 1 species